rnacentral:rRNA from 1 species
CAGCCGCCGCGGGAAUACAGAGGGUGCGAGCGUUAAUCGGAUUUACUGGGCGUAAAGCGUGCGUAGGCGGCUUCUUAAGUCGGAUGUGAAAUCCCUGAGCUUAACUUAGGAAUUGCAUUCGAUACUGGGAAGCUAGAGUAUGGGAGAGGAUGGUAGAAUUCCAGGUGUAGCGGUGAAAUGCGUAGAGAUCUGGAGGAAUACCGAUGGCGAAGGCAGCCAUCUGGCCUAAUACUGACGCUCAUGCACGAAAGCGUGGGGAGCAAACAGGAUUAGAUACCCCCGUAGUCCCUGUCUCUUAUAC